AUUCUUUGGAUACAUAGCAUAAUUUUAGUGUUUGUAUAUCUGGGGAACUUCGCCGAAAUGCUGUUAAAAUUUUUUUGGUGUAGAAGACAUGUAUGGCAAUAUUAAAUUCUUGCAUUUCUGAAUGGGAUAGGGCCAUCACCCUAUAGGUAAGGGAUAUAAGAUGUUAGUCAACUAUUAUUACGUAAGAUUGACUGUAUAGUUUGUAUCAUAAACAUGUAGGCA
rnacentral:lncRNA from 1 species